UCGAGAAUCUUUCGCAAUGGGCGAAAGCCUGACGAAGCGACGCUGUGUGAGUGAUGAAGGCCUUCGGGUUGUAAAACUCUUUCGCAUAGGAACAAGAGCGUUUAGUGAAUAGCUGAACAAUUUGAGGGUACUAUGUAAAGAAGCACCGGCUAACUCCGUGCCAGCAGCUGCGGUAAUACGGAGGGUGCAAGCAUUAAUCGGAAUGAUUGGGCGUAAAGGGCGCGUAGGCGGAUUAGAAAGUUAGAUGUGAAAUUCUGAAGCUCAACUUCAGAGCGGCAUUUAAAACUCCUAGUCUCGAGGUAUGAAGGAGAAAACGGAAUUCCACGUGUAGCGGUGAAAUGCGUAGAUAUGUGGAAGAACACCGGUGGCGAAAGCGGUUUUCUAUUUAUAACCUGACGCUGAGGCGCGAGAGCAAGGGGAGCAAACAGG
rnacentral:rRNA from 1 species